UGUCCCUGAGCUGUCCCCGGGCAUCCCUGAGGUGUCCCCGAGGUGUCCCCGAGGUGCCCCUGUGGCAUCCCCGAGGCGUCCCCGAGGUGUCCCCGAGGUGUCCCCGAGGUGUCCCUGAGGUGCCCACCCACCUU